GGAAAAGGGAAGGCAGUGAAUUGCUCCUUUGCAGGGCCAAAAAAGCAGAGGUGAAAUCAAGGGCAGGUGUUCUUGGCAGAAGUACAAGAUCAUCUAUCCUGGAGGGCCAAGGGAUGAAAAUGAGAAAACAUUGGAGAAGGAAAUAGAACUUACCAUUCUUGGUUUACAGCAUAAUAAAAAUGAACAAGCAUGUCCUGGAAGAUACCCUGACCUUUGACUUCAGUGUGUCAUGUAGCAGAGGUUGAA